GCAUCUCACACCCACUACUUACGCGCCAGGCGCCUCUUUGGACGCCACUCCACAGCCUCGUGUGUUAAGAGGCACACAAGAGCUGCCUGAUUGGCUCCCAAGCUGAGAACCGGGAGCCGGAGGAAAUCAUAGCGAAAUCUCAACCUGAUGUAGCCCCAUCAGCAUCACACACACACUCAGAGCAAAAUGGCCUGCUCUUCAAUGUAGCUUAGUUUAGUUCAAUUGUCCUGCCCACCCCCUCCUGACCCUCCUGCCGCUGAGGGGUGGUAUUUGAAAGAACAGCUGCUUGCACAUGUAACAGCUUCCAGGAUAACCAAUGAGCUGGAACCAGUAAGAUGUGGCUGGGGAAGGGGGCUUCUCAUCUGUCAGCUGGGGAGCCUCGUGGGGCCUUACAUGGACUCAACUUCUUACCAGUCCCAGAAGAGCACCCCAACGGCCCUGGGAUUUUCAACUCUGAAGCAUAAGACAAGUUAAUGAAGCAUCCAAUUCACACCAGCUUUUAUCUGUCAGAGAAACACCAGCAAGCAAGGUAGAGACACCAAGCCAAACCCUGAUGUGCAAGUAUGAACUUCAUGUUAAUUAGGAAGCGGAAGAAUGUGUGGGUUUCUCUAAUGCAGACUCAUCAUACGAAGUCAGCUGAUUCAAAUGCUCUCAACCUGAGCUUCGGGUCAUUUGUGUUAGCUGUAAGGCCAUCUGAGGCAGAUGCAUUGAACCUGACCUUGAGAGUAUCCUUGACCACUUGACCAAGAGGCCAGAGACUCUACAAGUGUGCUCAGGCCAGAUGGCUAACUCAACUAGUGCCUGGCAGGAAGACUCAAGAUGCCAGCUUCUCCCCUAAACCAUGUGAACAUUCAACCAUUUUAAACUACAAAAACAACAAUUUCAACCAAAACACUGGACCAUUGACUAUUUUACUGGAAGUUUCUCUCUUAGAGUAUGAUGAAAAGAGGAUUGGGUGUAAGAGACCUGGCUGCAAGGCUCACCUCCACUAAGUAGCCAUAGACAUUUUGGCCACUAAUGUGCUGUGAGUCACCUUAUUCCUCUGGUCCACAGCUUCUUCAUCUGGGAAAGGAAGACAUUGGAUUGUAAAGUAAGAAUAGCCCACAUUUUUUAGCGUUUGCAAUAUGCUAGGCAAUGUGCUAAUCGCUUGAUUAUUAAAGAGACAAUUAACAUUGAAAAGUAGUUAUUAACUCUUCAACACCCCAGCAGGUGGAGAUCGUCAUUAAUCCCAUUUAUCAGAUUGGGUCAUUGAGCUCAGGAUGGUGCAUGUGCUGCGUCUGAAAGGCUGGGGUCUGGUGCUCGCUUCUGGGCUGUUGAUGACUGGGUUCAGAUGCAUCAUUGUGCAUGCCUUUCUUAGCAGAGGAUUCCUUCCCGCUCUGCUAUGGACAAUUUACUGCUUUACAGUCUUUUCACCGGAGACCACUCACUGGCAGUGGCAUUUGUAGAAAGUAGCCUCUAAGCUGCAAAGCCCUGCCUGUCACCAGACCUACGUAGAGGGAUUCCCACUUGCUUUAUGAUGUUCAGAGUGCUCCUCGUGUUGCCCUGUGGGUUUUAUUUUCCUGUUUUCCACUGGAUAUGGUCAACUGGCAUUUACCAUGAAUUCCCAGCUCCUCCACAAGUUCUUCUUGUACUGCUAAGACUGAAAACUUAAACAAUACAUUUUCUACAAUCUCUUAUGUGGUGAGCAGAUAGAAACGUGGUCCCCAGUGAUCCCCACCCCCUGGUAUUCAUGCCCCUGUGGAAUCCUGCACCCCUGUCAGUGUGAGGUGAGCUAGUGACAUGUUCUAGCCAAUAGGAUGAUGGGAUGACAUGUGUAAUUAAGGGGAUAAGAUGUCACUUCCUUGAUUAGCUUACAAGAGAUUGUAACCUCCAUCUUGCCAGCAGACUCUCUGGCCAUCUCAGCUUCCAGGAUGUAAGCCCUCACAUUGCAGAGGUCCCUGUGGUAAGGAACUGGAGUGGAGGGUGGCUCUGCACAACAGCCAGCAAGGAACUGAGGCCUCUGUCACCCCUGGAGCAACUGAGCUCACCAACAACCCGAGUGAGCUUGGAAGCAGAGCUUUCCCCAGUUGGGCUUUCGGAUGAGACCCCAGCCCUAACUAAGGCACCAUGAUGGUAGCCACAGGAGACAUGGGACACAGCCAAGCCCACCUGGAUCCCUGAUCCACAGAAAUUGUAAGACGAUAAAUGUGUGCCAAGUUUGCUGU